ACUAAUCUCAGCCCUCAAUCAAUCCAAUCCAAUGAUCCACAUCUCACCCGAUCAAAUAAAAAAAUAAGGGUAAUGUGGUAAUAUCGCAUUGUUGAAUGACCUCCUCCCCUCAACCUGAUUUUCAGAUUUCUUUUCUCUCUCUUCCCCCGUUUUCUCUCUCCUCCUGCAAAUUCCCUCUCCUCUGCGAUUCACCUUCAACCGGUUCAUAGCUUUGUACUUAUUACAUUCGCAUCUUCUCUCAUUCAUCAAGUUUUCGCAAAAUAAGUCGGAAUAUGUAAUCUAGAAACUGAAGGAGAUGGGAAAGGUUUCAGAUAAACACAUUCUACUGAUAUGCAAGAAGUUCGAUCAGCUGGAUGCUGGCAGCUGUGGAAAAAUUACACUAGCAGAUCUUAUGCACAAUCACCACCGGAUUUAUUUUAGUUAUCAGUUGCUUUCAAUCUAAAUAUUGGCAGAGUAAUGUUAUGUCGUAGGGCUCAGAAGGUGAAAGGUGUUGGUCUUUUAUCUGUAAAUACACACCAGCUGUUCUGCUUUAUUUGGCUGCUGCUUUAUAUUCUGCAUUUAGUUGUUCUGGUUCC